rnacentral:lncRNA from 1 species
CAGCCGCUCCAGCUGCCACGGGUUGCAGCCGCUCAGGAAGCGCAGCUCCUCUUUGCCGUCCUCCGUGCGCGCUGCAAGAGAGAGGAGGCACUGAGAGAGGGGACGCGGGGACACCUCGGGCUGCAGCCCCCAGCCCGGUCCGGCGGGCACUCACCCUUCUCGUGCUGCAGCCAGCGGCAGUGCAGGUAGUAGUGAUAGCAGCUCUCGAACUCACGCUCUGUGUAGUUGGGCACGAGGAUGGGGACAAAGGGAUCCAGUGCAUCAAACCCCUCCUUUCCCAGCAGCUCGUGGGGCAGAUGGGCAGAGCUGGGCUUGAAGAGGGAACCGGUCUGGCUGAGCGUUGUCACCACAGCACCACCGCUCCAGUUAUUCAUCACCAUCUUCCUUAGGUUGUACACCAACGUCAGCUCCUCUGGAGAAACAGGGCUUUUGUCUUCUUUCUUUAACGUUGUCCUUCCCCAGAGUGCAUUGACUCCGUCCACUGCCACCAGAACUCUGAAUGAACCCAGACAGCACUGCUGCUUGAUCUCUUUCAGCACCACCCCAACCGCGUCGCUGGCGUUCUUCACUCGAGUUAAGCCCUGCUCCACCACCUCCCCCAGCGGCCUGCCCUGCUCUGUGCUGUCUCGUUUGCCCCACACGUAUUUUUGUUGUGUUUUUAUCUGUGUAAGAGAACAACAGCAACGAAAUCAAUGGAGUAAUACAAAGGCAGCCAUCCCCACGGAGGGAUUUAAAUUACUUCUUUUAAAAACUGCAUUCUGGCAACGGGGAGGUUUUGGGUAUGCAACGUGAGUGCAUGCAUCACUGCAUGAAGCACUUCUCAUCAAUGGGCACGUGCAGACUUCACCUCCAGCUGCUCACAGAACAGCAGCACACACACACACGUGGACCCAGGGAGGAGAUCCCGUGGUGAUGAUCUCUCGUGGCUGCAAACCAACAGCCUGGCA